rnacentral:sRNA from 1 species
AGUCUGGUGGUGGGUGCGGAGUCUGCGGCCGUUCCCGCGGCCUCCUCCUCCUCCCCGUUCCCUUCACCCCCACCCCGCACCCCUUUCCCCAUCCCGGCUCCGUCACCCUCCCGCCCCCCACACUCAGGACAAGAAUGCCCUGCCCGGAACAACCCAGCAGCGCCUAGAUGGCUUUGGUCACGGUCCAGCGGUCACCUACCCCCAGCACCACCUCCAGCCCCUGCGCCUCGAGCUCUCAUUUGGAAGACAGUGAAUCAGCAGCAUUACUUUGCUGUGAAUGUGAAGAAUCAGAAAUCUUUACUGAUUCCAAUGAGGCAGACAGUGGGGAGGAAGAAUGCCGGUCACAGCCCAGGAGGUAUGUUUGUUCAUUAUAUCCUACGGCAUUUUUGUUGUAGGAUAUUUUUGUAGUAGUUGUUUUUUCUCUAAUUCUUUUUCAGUCUUAUCAGAUUAGCUUAUCCUUGUUUUUCUACGUGCUUCCUUGGUCUCUCAAGAAACCAGAUUGCAGCUGGGCAUGGUGGCUUGUGCCUGUAAUUCCAGCUACUUGGGAUUGCUUAAGGCCAGGAGUUCGAGACAACGUAUCAGGACCUUCCUCCCUUUAAAAAAAAAAAAAAGAGUAAGAGCGAAUGCUUU